AUUCAGCCUUGGCCAAGGACUAUUGGGUAGUCAUUUAUCGAAUCACAUAGGUCGUUUCUCUUCUUUUACUAGAAGGGGUAGAUUCUUUAUUUAUCAUACAUUAUCUCCAUGUACAACUAUUAUACCCAAGCUGUGACACCCCCAAAACAGGAAUACAUCACCCAUCUUGAGUUGCCAGAUACACACUACCUAAAUCAAAUACAAACUUAAUUAUACAACCGUCGUAUAACAUACGACAAAACAUAGCUGAGAGUUUAAACAGGAAUAUUGCCUUCUAGACAAUAUCCACUCUCAAAUAGAGUCCUCAUUACAUUUAUUGUCACACUAUUUUAUAGAAUAGUGAGGACUACUAAAGCCAUUUAUCCUGGACCAUCACUCCAUUCCCCGACUCGUCCCAGCUAUAUUCUCAUUUCCUGAAAAGAACAAUGAAAGAAAGGGUGAGCUCAACUAGCCCAGUAAGAAAUAUUAUGACUAAGAUAAUGCAGAAUAAAUUAUUCUUAGCCUUCAACAAUGUUAAACUAAUAAAAUACAAUAGACAUCAAGUUUAACUGCAGCAGAAUAAGCAAUCCAUUAGAAAAGUCAAGUAGAGCAUAAUAUCUACUAUCUUCUAUGAUUUAAAAUAUUUUCAUCAAUUUUUUUUCGCUGAGACUCGGCUUAAUAAAUAAACCACAUCAUCGAAUCAUCCCUGCACUACGGGCCAAGGAUAUUCAUUAAAUCAUCAAUGGUCAUGACAAUACCGAAUAAUCCCUGGUCAUAAUCAUACCAAAAACUGUCCAUCAAUGUCCAUCAAUGCAUUACAGACCACUGAGGACUUUUACCACAUCAUUUAUAACAUUACAGGUCAUGAUUAUUGUUGGUUGAUUUCACACUAAAAGCAAACGUGCAAGUAUACACGGUCAACAAGUAAUAAAGUGAUAAGAUAGAGUGUCGAUCCCACAGAGAAUUCUAAUUAAUAAAUUCCAACUACUAGCACUAUAUCAAUUCAAUUUUAUUUAAACAACCAAUAACUGUGAUUUUUUCGAAUUAGGAAACUAAAUUAAGCAAUUAAAAGAAAUUAAUCUAAAAGAAAGCAAAUACGCCAAACUAAGAUUUGAUUGAAUUCAGAUAAAUAAGGAUUAAGACUCCAACAUCCCCAAUUAUGAACUAUAAAUCAAUUAUCCAAUUAUCUCAAUUAUUAUGUCUACUGAAUUGUUAACAGGAAUUCACAAGUGCCAAAAGUCUUUUUCCAAGUGAUCAAUUGUCUUCUAUUUAACCUAGAUUAAUUUUGUUGUAUUCCUAUGCAAAACAAUUGAAUUAAACUCGUUACAAUCCCAAUUCCUUAUGUGUUACAUGUGGCAAACAGAUAUUUCCAUUCUAUUCACAAACCUAAUUAUUCACUGUACAAAUAACUAAGUCACAUGUCACCAUGCCCAGUGCUAACCCUAGAAUUCCUUUGUCAAUUUCUUCUAGAGUAACAAGGUAAUUAUUGGCCAGAUAAUUAAUCAAUCAGCACAAAGCAAGAUGAACAAUUCACUUCAACAUAAAUAAUUAUAAUAAAUCAAAUAAUUAAUUCAUAAUCAUAAAAGGUUCAAUUGGAAUCUUAAUUAAAGAAAUUAGUUCAUAACGAAAAUUAAAACAAACAAUAUUUGAAAAAUCAUCCUUAAUGAAUUACACAAAUUGAAAGAAUAAAGUAGAAGAGAAAAAACUCCAAGUGAAAAUCUUCAAAUUCUCCUCUUGCUUCCUUGAUCAGACUUCAAUUGUGUAGAAAAUAGUCCCCUCCUUCAAUAGGAAUAAUCCUUAUAUACAUCCCAUCUUAGGCCCCAAUCCUUCUCCAAAUCAACUUUGUUAAAUAACUUCUUUAAACCAAGUCAACCGUACAAUCACGCGCGUCCCUGGUCAACACCUGACACGGCCUAGCGCCCCGGCGCUGGGAUUAACACUGGCUAGAGCGCCCCGGCGCUGGUAUGCAGAAAAUGACUCUUAUGCCCCUUUUUAGCUCAAUUGCCCCCAAAUGUUCCAAUCGCUCACAAACCUGCAAUAACACAACUAAACACAGUAAAACGGAUCUAAAUGCUUUGAGAAUACAAUAAAUUAAGCCCAAAUAUAUCCAAUUCACGGGUAUAUUACCCAAUCAUCAAUUAUAUCGAACGAUCCCUGGUUAUAAUCAUACCAAGUCCAUCUAUGCACGUAAGCUAAAGAUGACUUUCAUCACAAUAUAAGCAUGAGGAUGAUGAUAAUGACAUAAUAAUUCAAUAAAACAAGUUCAAGAAUAAAUUUUAAAGAUUUAUAAGUUAAUUUAUCCUGAAAUCAAUAACGUCCAAAUUGCCAACAUGAUACUUCUUUGUAGAGUAAAAUUCAAGAAUAAUAUUCAUGCACCAAAAAUAAUUUGGACAGAAAAGAAUCAAUUUUUCGUCGUGAAUAGUACCCCGUGAAUAGUACUUCGGGAAUAGUACCUCAUGAAUAGUAUCCCGACAUGAAAAGUACUCCAAAUACCUGAGUGAAUAAUAUUCGGGUGAAUAGUAAUUUGGGUGAAUAGUAACUCAUGAAUAGUAACUCGUGAAUAGUAUUUCAGCAUGAAAAGUGCUCCGAAUACCCGAGUGAAUAAUACUGGAGUGAAUAGUAACCGGGUGAAUAGUAACCCGUGAAUAGUAACUCGUAACAGAAAAUACCAAAUAAAAUGAUAUUUCAUGACGAGUACAAAAGAAAUGAUAUCUCAUACGAGUAUAAUAGAAUAUACGAAACUGCAAAUAGAUUUUCAUCCGUCAUGCGGUAAUCCACGUAAACAGAUCAUUUCCACAAUUUAAUAAAGAAUGAAUACGAAAGGUCAUUCACCAUGCAUGCGUUAAUCCAUAUAGACGAGUUAUUCCAACAGAACAAUAAGGAAUGGAAUAACAAAAGAAUUCACCAGGCAUGCGAUAGACCGCACAGACAGGUUAUUCCAACAGAACAAUAAGGAAUGGAAUAACAAAAGAAUUCACCAGGCAUGCGAUAGACCGCACAGACAGGUUAUUCCAAUAGAAUAAUAAAUAAUGGAAUAACAGAAGAAUUUACCAGGCAUGCGAUAGACCGCACAAACAGGUUAUUCCAACAGAAUAAUAAAUAAUGGAACUAGGUCAUGUGUAAAUGCACAGACAGGAUAUUUUGACAGAAUAAUAAAUAAUAGAACCAGGUCAUGCGUAAACGCACAGACAGGAUAUUCUGACAUAAUAAUAAAGAAUGGAAUAAUAGAAAAAUUUUACCACGUAUGCGGUACUUCGCAUAGACAGGUUAUUCCAACAUAAUAAUAAAGAAUGGAAUAACAGAAGAAUUUCACCAUAUAUACGGUAGUCCGCGUAUACAGGUUAUUCCAACAGAAUAAUAAGGAAUAGAAUAACAAUAGCUCUCUUCAUGAAUACGAAAGAAAUAAUACCCCUUACCUCAAAAGAAGACUGGAGGAAUAGUGAGGUAGCAGACUUCUCUUUUUCUUUCUCUCUAUAAUUUCUCUCUAUAUAAUUGCUCUAUAGCUUUAGUGAAUUGGUGAGAAAUAAAGGAAGAAUGAGCUUCUAUUUAUAGGAAAAUAUAGUUUCGAUAAUUGCAGGUUUUGGGGCUCAAAAUAUUACAGUACAAUACCUCCAACUUUUCUUUUAUUUUUAAUUUAGUCCUGCAAGUAUUAUCAAACUUGCACCACCUCCCCUAAUAGUAAAUCAUGUGAAUCAAUAGUUCUAAACAUGUGAAAAAAUUAAUUACAGUAUAGUACCUUCAACUAUACCUCCAUUUUAAUUUAGUCAUACAAGUAUUAUCAAUCUUGCACCAACUUCCCUAAUAGUAAAUCAUAUGAAUCAAUAGUACACACAUGUGAACACAUAGUUAUAAGCAUGUGAAUUAAUAGCAAUUAAUUGCUCAUUUAUCCGAUUAAUUACCCGAUUGGUCAAUAUAAUCUCCAGACAUCAAUUAUUAUCGAAAUAAAUGUCGAUUUUUACUAACACUAAUAAUUCCAACACAAUGGAACUAUCAAUUUCAUCUUUAAUCAACACGAACUUAUUCAUCAUUAAUAUUAUAAUUCACAAUAUUUAACAACCAGGUCAUUCCCAGGAAAGAGGGGGCUUUCUGAUAAGGAUUUCUCCCUAUUGGCGCGCAAUUAGAUUAUCUAAUCUCUCCUUGACAAAACUUCUAGACAUUGUCAAUAUUGCAAAUAAUAAUAUGAAUAACUUUGUCAUCUCAAUUAUUUAUUUAAUAACAUAACAUAUUAUACAGAUGAUACUGUGACAAUAAUUGAAUCAAUAAUAUGAAAGAUAUGAUGCAGCAAUUACUGUAGCAAUAAAUGAGUAUAACUGAGUGAUUUCUCACGUAAGCAUCAAUAAUUAAUACCGUGUGCUACUAUGCAACCACACGUAUUACUAUAUUUUUACUACCGGUUAUUUUAUGACAACUUGCUUACUUUGAAAAAAUUUCACAUAUCACCCUUAACUUUAAACUUUUAUCAAUUUAACUAUUUACCAAAAUAGAAAAAUUAAAUACUUUUAUUUCAUAAAAUUCGGGAUCUCACACAAGCAUACCCUUUGAUAUACCCUAAGGGUCUUAAGGAAUAAGUCAAAGUAUAACUCAUCAUACACAAGAUACUAUGAUGAUCUCAAGUCCAAGGAUCACUUGUACUACUAUCACUACAGGAAUUCCUAUUGACAGGCAAGUAAAACUCCAUUAGGUAUUCCUUAGUGAGCCACGUUCAGUGAACUUAUUCUCUAAUAAGCACCUACAUACUUGUUUUAGUGUCUCCACACAAAUGAUCAUGAGAUCAAUCAUCCUUAGCCAAUGAGCAAGCAAUGUAUGUACCAAUCUAUUUGGAUUCACUAAUCGCCAAUUUAGUAAUCCAACGAUUGAGAACUAUUUUAGUUUUAAGAUUUCUAAGAAUUUAGAUCACAUUAGAAUGAUCAUCAUCAUUAUUCUAAAAGCAUUGCUUAAAACUAUGGUUUUAUCAUAUAUUAUAAAAUAGCAUCAUAUAGAUAAUUAAAAGCCUUUAAUAAAUUAAAACUUUUUAUUAAUAAAUGAAUAAGAUCGUUACAAAGUAUAUGCUUUAUCAUCAAACAUGAUUGGCUUGUGUGCAUACUACUUUCAAUCUCCCACUUGCACUAAAGUCAAUCGUCAUGGUAUCUCAUACCCUUCUUCUCUAAGUGAUGAUUAUCCUACUGUUGGAUAAGCUUUAGUUAAUGGAUAUGUAAUUUUAUUCUUGAGAUUUCACUAUCUCUAUAGUGAUUUCCCAUCUUUCAAUGAUUCUUAUAAUCAAAUGAAAGUGUCACAACACAUGUUUAGAUCCAAGAUGAGACUUAGAAACUAUUCCUAGUUCUGUAAUGAAUUUUUCAUCCAAAUAAUCAACUUGCAGCUUCAUUUAUAGCUAUAUACUUUGUCUUUAUCACUAAACCAACAACUCUUUGUUGUUUAAAACUUUUCCAAUUCACUGCACCACUGUUCAAGGUAACGCUUUACCUUAAAGUGAAUUUUCUAUCGUCUUGGUCUGUCUGAAAAACUUGAGUCUGUUAAGCCCUCUAGUUUUAAUUUAGACCCAUCAUGAAUAUGAUCACAUCUUUAGUACCAGUUAAGUAAUUUAAGAUGUUUUUCACUGACUCGUAGUGAACUUCUCCAGAAUAUGACUGAUCAACAUCAGGUCUCAUACAUUUUAUUGCAUACAUGAUAGUUAAUCAUGCGAUCUCUCUUAUUAUGAGUCUAUGGGGACUAUUAAGAGAGAUACACUCCAUGUCUCAUCAACAUAAGACAACUCUUGGAGUUUGCCAUGCUAAAUGACUUUAGCAUCAAAUGAUUAUACGUUCCUUAGGUUAAGCUGAGCAUCUUUUUAAAUCUAUCUAUAUAGAUUUUUAUCCCCAAUUACGAUACUCUUCCCAAAUCAUUCAUGGAGGAAUGUUUAGACAACUUUAUCUUUACUGAUUCUAGCAUUGGCAUGUCAUUCCUUAUCCGUAUUAUAUCAAUAUAUAAUACUAGGAAUGUCACGACUCUCCCACUGACCCUUUUGUACACACUAGGUUCAUUCUUGUUUUUGAUAAAAUCAAACUCUUUUGAUUGUUUUAUCAAAACGAAUGUCCAUUUUUGAGAAGAUUGCUUCAAUCCAUUUCUCUAAGUGUCUACAACUCUUACCUCAUCGUAUGUAACUGGAUCAUCAUCUUCUAUGAUGCGUACCUCAUCAUCAUCAUCAUAUAUGAUGAAUCCAUACCUCCAGGUAUCUUCGGUAUUAUUCCAGAUUUACGAUUUGGUUGUGGUACAAUAGGUCUAUCUACAGGUUCCUCUUAUUUGACUUACAACAUUUUGUGGUUCUUGAACUCUUCAAGAUCUAUUAUCCUCCCACUAGCCCCUUCAAUGAUAAACAUCUUUAUCUUAAAAGGCAGCGUGUUUUGCAACAAACACCUUUUGCUAAGUAGGAUUAUAGAACGUAUACCCUAAACUUACUUUAGGAUGUCCCACAAAUCUGUACUUGUCAAAUCUUGUCCCAAGCUUAUCCUUUGAAACCUUUUCACAUAAGUUGGAAAAUCCCUUAUCUUAACAUACUUAAGAUUAGGAAUCCUCCCUAUCCAGAACUCUUAUGGAGUCGUGGGUCGGAUUUUGAGGUUACCUUUUGUAGAUAUGCAACCAUUUCUAGGGCAUAACCCCAUAAGGAUACUGGAAUGUUAGUAAAAUUAUUAUGGACCGUACCAUGUCUAAUAAGGUACGAUUUUUCCUUUCAGAUACAUCAAUCAAUUAUUGCGUAUCAGGAGGCGUCCAUUAUGAGAAAACCAUUUGAGAUGAUCUAGAAAUUUAUUGAAUAAGUAUUUAUUCCUUGAUCUAAUCAAAGAAUCUUAAUACUUUUCAAAUUAAUUUCACUUUUGAAUUCUUUGAACCUUUCAAAUAAUUCAUACUUGUAUUUCAUCAAAUACACACAUUCAACUAUUUAAAUGAUCAUCUCCUUUUCUUAUAUUAGUUUGUUCAAUUUGCAAAAUUAUUUUCACGUAAGUCAAGUAUACAAAAUCCAUUAAGUAAUAUUCCAAUUCUAUACAAAAUAUUAUUAUUAUAAAUAGAACAACAAUUGUUCUUAAAUAUAAUAUCAAAGAUUUUAUUGUCCAACAACAAAAUGAAAAAUAAUGUUUCUAACGAGAACUGGAAUACAAUAACAACUUAUUGACUUAAUAGAUUUGCCCGUAGGCAGUGCUAAACUAUAAGUUUCUAUGGCUAAUGUAGCAACCUUUGCUUCAUUUCCCACUUAUAGGAUUACUUAUCUUUGCUUAGCUUUCUACUUCUGCUUGGUCCAUUCAUAAAUCUAUAUUUAUGAUAACCAAAGUUAGUAUCCAAUACCCAAGUAGAACCUUGACUUAAAAUUUUUUUAUUUUAAAUCAUGAACAAAACUAUAUUUGUAACCGAAACUUCACUAAACUUCUUCUGGUUAUCCUCUGCAAGAUGCUUCUUGUAGUUUCUUUCCAGUGUCCUGACUUAUUGCUGUGGAAGCAAACUCCUUUGCUAUCUGUAUCAGUUUUGUUCUUAUUAUCCUUUGUUUUUACCUUUCUAUUUACCUUCUUUGAAUCGUUCUCCUUUUUAGAAGAUCAUUUGGCCCCUACCAAUAAGACUUAGUCUUUCUUGAUUGGAAAAUGACUCUCAAUAUUUUUUAACAUUUUAAGCAAAUCAACGAAGCUGAUAUCUAGCUUGUUCAUAUAAAAAUUCACAACAAUUGUGAGAAAGAGUCCAGAGUGACUACAAGAUCAAAUCUUGGCACAACUCUCCAUCCAUGACAAAACUCGUUGUCCUUAUUGUUCAAUCAAAUUGAUCAUGUUAAGGACUUUUGUCUGUACUGUAGUGUCAUUGAUCAUUCUAGAUCGGAAGAGCUCCUUAGAUAUCUGAUAUCUUUCAGUCCUACUUUCCUCACCAUCAACUACUUGAUGUGCAGGAAUAUAGUAAGAGCAUCCAUAAUUUUAUGUUGACGCUAAAACUCGUUACUCAUGGAUGCGAGCAUGAUGCAUUAAGCAAACUGUGCAUCAUCUUGCCACUUUCUAAAAGUAGCAAUCUCUUCCUCAAAGGCAUUGUCUGAAACCAUUGCAGGGAUAGGCGUAUUAAGGAAAUAAGAUAGCUUUUCAGCCGUGUGAAAUUUUCUCAAUUUUCUUAACCAAUCCAUUUAAUACGGUCCGGUUAAAUAGCAUCUAAUAUGCUUCGCAGUGAUAGUAAUUUAGACAUUGUAAAAUUCUGUAAAUGAAUUUAUAAUUAAUAACAUUUUAGCAUACAUUAUUUUAUUAAUUACCAAAAUAAUUUAGGUGUUUUAAAUUGGUAUCUCCCACUAUUUUCAUCAAACUAUAUUACCCUCACUUAUAUAAUUCGGCACAAUCUAAUUAAAGAUCUGCUAGUGAGAAUAAGGAUCCCAUUUCAAAUGUAUAUAGCCUUAUGUGUGCACAACAAACUAUAUAUAAAUAAAUAGGUAGACAACUCUUGUCAAUUACAUCAACUAUGAAACUCCUUGUAUUUUGCCUCUUAAAUCAUAAUGGUUAAGUGUGUGCACAUCCGAACUAAAAUGACUUAAGUUAAGUCAGACCCAGUAUUUCCAUAUAAGUGAAGAGAAAACUACAACCCUUGUGUGUGCACAACAAAACAGUAAUGUUCAUUUCCUUAUAAACAUCAUAUGUAAUAAAAACAUCUUAUGUGACGCCCCCAAAAUAGGUAUACAUCACCUACUCUGAGUCGCCAGAUACAUGGUAUAGAAUACAAAUACAAACUAAUUAUACAACAGUCGUGUAAAAUACGACAAAACAUAUGCUGUGAGUUUUAAUACAAAUAUUGUCAUCUAGACAAUAUCCACACUCAAUGGAGUCCUCAUUAUAUUUAUUAUCACACUAUUUUAACAGAAUAGUGAGAACUACUAAUACUAUCAUCUGGAAUGUCAAUCCGUUCCCCGACUCGUCCCAACUAUAUUCUCAUUUCUUGAAGAGAACAGUGAAGGAAAGGGUGAGCUCAACUAGCCCAGUAAGAAAUAUUAUGACUAAGAUAAUGCAGAAUAAAUUAUCAUUAGCCUUCAACAAUGUUAAACUCAUAAAAUAUAAUAGACAUCAAGUUUAACUGCAGCGGAAUAAGCAAUCCAUUAAAAGAGUCAAGUAGAGAAUAAAAUCUACUAUCUUUUAUGAUUUAAAAAGUUUUUUAUCACUUUUAUCGCUGGGACUCAGCUUAAUAAAUAAUCCACAUCAUCAAUUCAUCCCUGCACUACAGGCCAAGGAUAUUAUUUAGUAUCACGACCACGAAUUAUCCAUGCACUACGGGCCAAAGAUAAUUGUGUUUUCAUCAACGGUCCUGAUCAUGCCAUAAAAUAAUUCAUCUUUGCUCCCUUGGCCGAAGAGAAUCCAUAGCCAUAAUCAUACCAAAAACUGUCCAUCAAUGCACUACGGGCCAAUGAGGACUUUUUCCACAUCAUUUGUAACAUUACGGUCAUGAUUAUACCGAAUAAUCCCUGGUCAUAAUCAUACCAAGUCCAUCUAUGCACUACAGGCCACAGAUGACUUUCAACAUAAUAUAAACAUGAGGAUGAUGACAAUGAUAUAAGAAUUCAAUAAAACAAGUUCAAGAAUUAAUUUAUCCAGGAACUAAUAACGUCCAAAUUGUCAACAUGAUACUUCUUUGUAGAGUAAAAUUCAAGAAUGCUCAGAAGAAUAUUUCCAUGAAAAGAUACUGGAUGAAGCGCAAAUAUCAAGGAUAUUCCACUAAUUUCAUGGAGUAUAGAAGUCAAAACUUUAACCAACUGAGUAUAAUAAAAAAUGGAAUAACAAAAGAAAUCACCAUGCAUGCGGUACUUCACAUAGACAGGUUAUUCCAACAGAAUAAUAAAUAACGGAACCAGGUCAGGCGUAAUAUGUACCGACAGGAUAUUACAACAGAAUAAUAAAGAAUGGAAUAACAGCAGAAAUCACCAUGCAUGCGGUACUUCACAUAGAUAGGUUAUUCCAACAGAAUACUAAAUAACGGAACCAGGUCAGGCAAAAUUCGCACCGACAGGAUUUUCCAACAGAAUAAUAAAGACGAAACCAGGUCCGACGUAAAACGCACAGACAGGAUAUUCCAACAGAAUAAUAAAGAUGGAACCAGGUCCGGCGUAAAAUGCACAGAAAGGAUGUUCCAACAGAAUAAUAAAGAAUGGAAUAACAACAUAAAUCACCAAGUAUAGGGUAGACCGCGUAUACAGGAUAUUCCAACAGAAUAAUAAAGAAUGGAAUAACAGAAGUUCUCUUCAUGAAUAUAAAAAAAAUAAUACUCCUUACGGGUACAACAAAUAAUAUCCCUUACCUUUGAAAGAAUAGUACUCCGACUGGUAGGGAGAGGAUAUACUCGAAGAAAACUUGCACUACGCUUAAAGCUUUCUUAAACUCUAAAGAAAUAUGCUCAAUAUUAUAGAAGAAGAACUCUCUCUAUAGUUUCUCUCUCUAGAGUUUCAGUGAAUUCAUAAGAAAUAAUGAAGGAAUGAGUUUCUAUUUAUAGGAGAAUGGACUGAAUAGUAACUAAUUCAUGAACGGUCCAAAUUGAUUUACUUUUAAUCGGACGGUCCAUAUUUAAAGCAAGAUCUUUUAAUUAAAAUAUAAUAUAUUCUAUUUAUAAUCUAAUAAAACGAAUAACUUUAUAAAAGUAUUCUGUUUUAUAUAAAAAAAAUUUACUAUGCAAAACACUAUACAGGCACUAUGCAACACUAUGCAUAAUAAAAUAUAAUAUAUUCUAUUUAUAGAAUAACUUUAUAAAAGUAUUCUGUUUUAUAUAAAAAACUUUUCUAUUUUAUUACAUUAAUAAUACUAAUAAAACAAAACUUAUAUAUAUAUAUAUAACAAUCAACAAUAAUUGAAUCAAAUAACGUGAGAUACUAUGCAACAACUACUGUAGCAAUAAUUGAACAAAACUGAGUGACUUCUCACGUAAGCAUCAAUAAUCAAUACCGUGUGCUACUAUGAAACCACACGUAUUACUGUACUUUUACUGCCGAGUAAUUCAACAGUAUUAACGGUAAAACUUCCGUCGUUAUUUUCAUAAAAAUAUUUUUGUCAUUUUCUCAAUCCGACAAUAAUUCCGUUGUGGGGUCCACCAAUGAUUGUGCCGUCGUACGAAUAUUUCUCGACACAAAGAAUAUUCCCCGACCAAUCGAAUAUAAUAUAACAACUUGCAUACUUUGCAAAAUUUAUAAACAUUACCCACAACUAUAACAUUAUAUUAAAUCCACACCAUAAUAUUNNNNNNNNNNNNNNNNNNNNNNNNNNNNNNNNNNNNNNNNNNNNNNNNNNNNNNNNNNNNNNNNNNNNNNNNNNNNNNNNNNNNNNNNNNNNNNNNNNNNUUAAAUCUUCUGCUAUCUCGUCCGGUUCUAAAUUAAUAAUGUGGUUCGGGUCGUCCACAUAUUUACGUAACAUCGAUACGUUAAAAACGUUAUGAACACGCGACAUACUUAGCGGUAAAACGAGUCUAUAAGCCAUAGUUCCUACUCGAUCGAAGAUUUCAAAUGGGCCAAUUAAAUCGAGGGUUGUGAUUUCCUCUCUUCAGCAACUCUUGCUUUUAAAAUAACGCCCUCUUGAACCUUCUUCUUCACAUUCAUCAGCUCCGGGUGUGUAGCUUAAGCGGCUUUAACUUUAUCGAUUAAAGUCGAUUCUACUCGUAUAUUCGUUAUCUUCACGUGGGUUUGUAUAUUCGUAAUUGUAAACGCAUACGAUCUUCUACUCAACACGUCAGCUAUCACGUUCGUUUUCCCACGAUGGUAUUGAAUGGUACGAUCGUAAUCUUCAACAGCUCGAGUCAACGUCUUUAGCGCAUUAUAUUGAUAAAUUGAAAAGUCAUAAAAUGAUAAAAUGAUAAAUUGAGUUUAUGAAAAUUGUAAAAAGGAUAAGUCAAUGCCAUUUGUUUCGGCUAGAUGAAAAUGUUUUGAAAACAUUAAAAUGUAUUUUUCAUAGUCAUUAAUACAUCAUUGACCAUGGUGUAGAUAUGACAUAUGAUGAAGUCAUCAAUGCAGUUUAACCUAGUGUGGAUGUGAUCAUAGAAUCGUCAACCCACAAUGGUAUGAUGUAGUAUAACAAAGUCAUAAAAUGACGAAGUCCUCAACAUACUGUCAAAACGGUACGGUAUCAUGACGUCAUAAAAUAAUUUUUGAUUUUCUUUAACCAUGAAAAUAUAUGCCAGUACGAGUUGGCCAAAAUGUUUCGAUCGAUGUUCAAAUUGUUAAUAUAUGUCUAAGUUAUUUGAUUCAGCUAAACAAAUACUGAAAUAUGUUUAUGGAAUUCAAACAUUCUUUAAGAAUUUAUGUUAGACCAAAUUGUUUUGGUGUGAAUCUUAUGCUAAGUCUGAGGUGAACGACCAACUCUUUUUAUAGGGGCAUGAAUUUAGACUGUUAUGUUGUGCAUAACAUAAGAGUACGAUAGGUUGAUCUCCUAAAGUACAAAUAUAAGUAGUUUACUGUCUUCGUGAUUGUAAACAGGCUUAACAGAGAAUGUUUAUAAUCUUACUGACUAUUAAACUUCUAUUUGUAGGUUUGCAAUGGGGAUACCCAUUAAACCGAGUAAAGAGUUCAUGGUCUUUAUGACUCCUCAACAUAAUAUGAUUUUUUUAAAAAAAAAAAGAAUCUUUUUGUUCUUAGUUAUUUAUACUGCUUCACAACUAUUAAACAAUUGUUGAAGACUCUUGAAAGAUAUUCCGAUUUUUUGGGAAUUGAAUGAUAAGAAAGUAUGAGCUUCUUAGAGAAAAGUGAGAAUGUAAAGGUUAGUAUAAAAACUAGUUACGAUGAGUAGAAUGUGUAGAGACGAAUAUGUUGUAAUUUCGAAGAACGAAUUUCCUACAAGGAGUAUAUAUGAUAUCUCGAAUGAUUAUAAGAGUAGUAAAUCAUAAUGUUAAACUUACGACGAUUGUGACAUACGAUAAAUCCUUCGAAAAAGGAAGUUGAUGGGAUAAAAAAUGAGAAGUACCAAGAAUAUAAUUGAGUUUGAUGAAAAAGUUAUUAAAUGAAACCUAUAAGAAAUUGUUAAGAGAAAUGGAUUAAAGACGUAAUAUAAUACCUAUGGUAACGCAGUACGUUAAAAUUAAAUUAUUCAGCGAUAAAAAAAAUUCAAAAGAAAUUAGUUAAAAAUCGAGUAAAGGAGGUCCGGUAUUUGUGAUUCCGAGUACGAAAUCCUUAUAAGGGGGGGAGAUAUGACAACCCGAAUUUUUUUAUAAAUCAUUUUUAAUAAAAAUAAAAAUUUAUUAAAUAAAAUUCUUAUUAUGAGAUGUGUCGGGUUGAAUAAGUGUGUGUGUGUGUGUGUGUGUGUGUGUGUGUGUGAUCUACCUGAUGAAUUGAAUGUGUAUAUAAGUAAGGAAGUGUAUACACAUAUUUGGAAGGACAGAGUUAAUAGCUAAUUUAGUUAGCUUGAGGUAAUUAUAAAAUGAAAUAUGGAAAUAAAGAAAGUCAAUUAAUAUUAAUUAAUUGAGAUUAAGUCAAAUUAUAUUAAAUAACUUAAAUAAUAAGCCUUGUAUGGCAAUGAAGUUAUUAUGAAUUCAAAAUUCAUAAAUGAAGCGAUUAAGUAUCUUUGUUUUAAUAAACACGAUGGAGUUAAUUAAAUUCAUUAUUUUAAUAUAUUACAUAUGAAUGUAAUAUAUUUAUGAAAUGACUUAAUACAUUAUAUUACGUCAAACGAAUAUAAAUUGAAUAUGAAAUGAGGUUAGUAGUUAUUAUUUGAAGAUUGGCUAAUUAAAAUAUUCGUGUCGGUUAAUUGAAUAAAGAAAGUUAUUUUCUUUUAAUUAGCUAAUAAUGAGAAUCAUGUUACUAUAAUAUAACAUAUAAUGGUAUAAUAUCUAAUAUUAUACUAAAGAAAUGUGAAUUCAAAAUAUGAGGUGAAAGACCAAUAUAUAUAUAUAUGAAUAUUGGUGUUAAAUUAAUAAAUUAAAUUAAUAUUUAAUUGAAGACAAAAUGAAUAGGUUAAAUAAAAUGGUUAAUGUGAUAAUUAAAUAAGGAAUUAUUUAAUUAUACGAGGAAAUGAAUGAUAUUAUGAUGGCAAGAUUAAGUAUGCCAAGCAAAUGUAAAUCAAAUUAAUUAUUUGAUUAAUGAAUAAGUAUAUGUAUUAUACGUAUAUAUGUUAAAUAAAUUGUUUUAUGGGAGGGGGAAGUAAGAAAAAUGUCUAUGUACCAUACGUAUAUAUGUUAAAUAAAUUGUUUUAUGGGAGGCAGAAGUAAGAAAAAUGUAAUAAUAGAAGUUUAAAGCAACUAUUUAAAUAAAAUAAUAUUAAUUAAAUAGUUGAUUCGUCCCAUAUCAAGUAUUUUAAUUAUGAAAUUAAUUUCAUAAUUAGUAAAAAUAUUUAUACAUAUUAUUAAUGUAUAGUUAUCCAAUUUUGACUAAUAAUUGGAAUACGUGUAAUUGUAGCACAUAAAUUAAUUUAUGUGUACGUAAUAGAAAUAUAUAAUGGGAUGUUAUAUAAAUGUAUUAUGUAUGGGAUGCAAUGUGAUAAUAUAUAAAUACCAAUUUUUGUUAAGAAAAAUGUUAUGAAGAUAUAUGAAACGGUAGUAUUUUUAUAUAUGUGCUGAAAUUUACAAGCCAAGUAAAAUAAGCAAGUAUGUUGGAAACAUAAUGUAAAUGUAAAACAAUAUGUAUAAUUGUUUAGAUGAAAGUACGGAGCAAUAAAUUAAGUCAUGUACCUAUGCUGAGAACUAAAUAUGCUGAGACAUUUUGCCAAGUAGGGGGUGCCUAAGGGGCUUAGGGAGCUUUGAGGCCAAUUGUUAGGGGCUAUGGUUGAUAGGUUGCGGGUGAUAAUUGAGGAGAGAGAGGUCAGAGAAAAGCCAAAAACAAAAUAAACUAAAGUACUCUGCUCUCUUUCAUUUUUCAUCCGUUCAAUCCCUCUUUCUUCCAGGCUGCUAAGGCAACCUCCCAUUAAUUUCUCUUGAGUUUGGACUGGAGAAAAGGAAGAGGGAUAAUGAACUGAAGUGUAAUCUGAGAAUUGAAAAAGAACCAGGAUUUUCAAAUCUCGGUUGGAGCUAGCGAAGGAAUUGAAGAUGCAAAUUAACUUGGGAAGGAAUUAAAGCUUAUUUUGGACAAAAGGAGACUGAAGUCAGCCCACAUCAAUCCUAUGACAAGAAUUUCAACAAGAAUUCAUAUUAAAAUAGCAAUCAAAGAGGUAACCCGUGUGUUUUCAUUAUGUUUAUGCAAAAUUAAGUGAAAGCAUGUGUAAUUGUUAAUAUAAACAUUAUGUUGGGCUGUGUUUGGCUAUAAAUUAGUGCAAAUGAGAUUAGUUGUUGUACGGAGUAAUAAGAGAGGAAAAUUUUGGGUUUAAGCAUGUAUAAACAUGUUUGAAUUCUGUCCCUAAAGCUAAUGCACUUGUUGUGUUAGAUAAAUUGUUUCUUAGAGACUAAUAAGCUCAAAUUAGACAAAUAGUGGACUGUUUUGGACCAAUUUGUGUUGUGCACUGAAACUAAAAAAUUAAGUUCCGGGAUGAUGUGUGGUACUCUUAUGAGUUAUGAACACAACCCAAUUGGAACGAGGGAAAAAUCCGUCGUAACGAAAUCAUGACGGAUUUUCUAAUAAAACAUGUAAAACAAACUAGUUAAAACUGUUUUAGGGGGCUGUUCUUGAGCCAAAAUUUAUGAGGGUAUAGAACUGAAAAUUUAAGUUUUGUAAUGGUGGGUUGUGCUCUUACGAGUUCUGGAAAUAAUCCAAUUGGAAUGAAUCAAAAAGGAGCUAAAACGAAUUUAUAGUGAAGGUUUUAGUAAAACAUGUUAGAAACCAAAAAUUUGUGGACUGCAGACCCUAAGGACAAAUUCGGGGCUAGCUAGAGUUUCUAGAAAAUUCUGGUCUUUUGGGGUAUUAUAGUACACUGAAUAAGCUUUCCAUAGACUCCAGAACGGACUAAUUCCGACAUCGGAGUAAGGAGUUACGACCAUUCAAAGUAGUGUCGUCAAAUCUGUCUAACAAAUUCGGAGCAGUCCCCUUGCACGAAUUUUCUUAAAUUUUGUAUUAAGAAUUUGAAAAUGGUCAAAGAAUAAAAGUUGUAGCAUCGGAAGUUAGCUUUGCGUGGGCUCAAGAAUCGCUCAAAAAUGUUUUGAAACGAAAAAGUUAUGACUAUUUUAGCGAGAGGGUACAGCAAGAAAGAAAUUGAAAACUGUUAUGAACGUACAUUUUUGACGCUCUCUAACGAACCAGAAAUGGGAGUUUGAUAUUUUUCAAAAUUAGUCUCGUGUGGUACGAAAAACAUACCAAAAAUUAGUUGUGAUCCAAACUACAAGCAAGAAGUUAAAAAUGCGCAAAGAAGGCUUCAAAAAGCUGAGCAGCACAGGACACUGCCCAGCCACGCGUGGGCACGCCGCGCCAUGCUGGUUUAGUUGUCUGGCAUGCUUUUCACGUGUUGUUUUGGUCGAUUUUAGUCGCUUGUUUUCAUGGUUAGAAAUUUCUAUAAAUACUUAGAUAUACUGACUAAACAUACCCAAAACUCGCAGUAAGUUGAUUAGAGGUCUAAGAAAUUAAAAUUAGCAAAGGAACGUGUCAAGCCAUGCCAAGACGGCCAACGCCGAGCCUGGCAGCCUUGGGCUACUCAGCACAUCGUGUUCCCGCGACGUAUUUGGUUGGUUUUAGAGCUAUUUGGCACAUAAUGAAACACCGGUAUAGAAUUAUAAAUAUAGUAUAAAGACUAUAUAUGGCGCAAACUUAUACAUGCGCAAGAAAAGCGAUAAAAGUAUUAUGUAAACAUGAAAUUACAUAUAUGUGAUCAUCCUGAAUUGAGAAAUGGAAUAUAAAAGGGUUAUGUACUAAAAUAAAAUACGCUAACCCAUUUAAACUAUAUUGAACAUCGAAAUGUGAAAGUGAAAGGUUUUAGAAAUUCAAAACGAAGACUAUGAACACAUAAUCACAUAAUGUAAUGUGUAUGAAAAUAAAAUACAUGUGAAGAACGAAUGUAAUUUAUUCACGAGAAUAAAUGUUAAGCGAAGCUAUUAACAAAGCGAGACAUUUGCGUACAUGGUGAUAUAGCAUGGUUUAGCACAUGGGCUAUUGCGAAAACAUAAAAAUUUUCGAAAACUAAAGAAUAAUGAUAUGAACUAUGUUUACGCGAUAAAAAACAUCCAUAACCAUAUAGUCCAAAGUUUAUAGAUGGAGACAAGAAAUAUUCUUAAAAUGGAUUAUAGAUGGUUUAUGCUCUCAAACGUUAAGUAUUUAUAUACUAAAAACCAUGAGAGAACCUUUUUGGGCAUAAAAAGGGUUAUAACAGACAAAAAUUUCCAAAGAAACGUGUAAUGGUUUUAAGACAAGAACAAAAAGAUUAUACUUAAUGUAAAAUAAAAAUUAGUUUACAUUACGUAUGUGAAUUUUGUAUGUAAAACUAAUGUGUGUAUGAAUAUAUACUCAAUUUGUGUAGGAUCAUCACCGAGCAGAUAAGUUAUAACAUUAAACAGCACUCAAGGCAAGUUUCUCAGUUUAUUUAUGUGGACUUAUAAUUCCUAUAGAUAACUGUUAGCAUGACUUAUGUUUAUAAGUAUGUGAUACCUAUGAACUGCAUUAUUUGCUUUGUGAAUGAUGAAUGUCAAAUUAUGACUAAUUAUUGAAUUGAGUAAGGGAAGUCAAUAUAUAUGUGCAAUGACUGACAGGUGCAUGACAUGUGUAGUAUGCUAUGGUACGCAUGUUGCUACCAGCAGGGCAGAAAUGUGAUAAUGCAUUUGGAAUAUGUUUCAACACCAAGAAUAUAAAUGCAUGAACUGAAUGUGAAACCUAUGUGCUACGUGAUUCAUAAUAGACUGUUAGACUUGCUGGGUCGUCGUGCUCAAUCUUGCUUAAUUUGCAUGUUAAAGCUAUGAUGUGAUCUAUCGUGAUUAGGACCGCAUGAAAAAAGACUAGUGAUUUAAUUGAGAUUUUGUUGAACCAAUAUAUGGUAUUUUCAUGUGUAAACCACAGAUGUAUAAAUUUUUUAAUUAUUCAAUAGAUGAAGAUUAUUUGUUUUCAAAAGGGGAUAUGUUUGAAAGAAUGAAUUGUAUAUAUAUUCAUAUCUAUUUAGGUUAAAUAAAUCAUAUAGUAAAUAUGAUUUCAGUAUAAAGAAGAAUUGUAAAGGUUGCGAUUCAGAGAACGAAUGAAUAGCAGGAAAAAAAAUUAUUUCGCAUUUCUAGCUAUUUUAUCUUCAAAUAAUGUUUUAAAGCUAGAAUAAGAUAGUAUUAACGCAUAAGAUCGGGGUUGGGGUUGGGGUUGGGGUUGUUCGGCUCAAUUUCUAACUUACAUAGCUCACAUGCAUACAUAUAUACAUAUAUGUUAUGUGUGCGCACACGGGCGAGGAUAUAUCAAAAACUUUAUAACAAUAAUUUGAAAAUCUAUUUAGGUCUUUCAUAUAUAAUUAAAAUUUCUACGUAAUUAUAACAUUAUUACAACAAUUAAAAACUCCGUAUACAAAAGAAACUUAAUUACAACAUAUUAUUCAUCUAUAAAAUUUGCGGUAGCAGCAUUAAUUUCUAGUGUUUAUAGCCUUUGAACCUCUAAACAAUUCGAACCUCAUUCGAACCUCUAUUUUUGAUAUGUUGUGUUUAGGCUCCCACUCCAAAUAUUUGUGUUCGUAAGUUAAAACACUUUGUUACUUAUAAAUGGAGUACUUCUAAACGAAAACAUUUAAAGUGCAUUUAAAAACAUUUAAAGUGCAUUUAGAAGCCUAAACGUGUCAAACGCUAAAUUUAUCUAGAUACAACGAAAAAAUAGAAUGCAAAAUGCAUAGGCAUGCAACAAUCAAAAUCAUCACAAUAAAGCAUAUAUAUUUACAUGUAUAUAUAUUUUAAAAAGUAAGAAUUAAAAAGGAAGAGAUAAGAGAGAGUACCAUAAGUGACUGAAAUUGAGAAGAGGAGAAUGGCAAGUAGAGGCACACAGAGGAGGAGAGGAUGAAGCCUAAGAUAAGCCAUUAAUAGCAGAUAAACUAAUGUCUUUUAUUUGAUAUGAUUUGGUUUACAAAUUAAGUAGCUAGCUAGCUAGUAUGAGAAUAUAUGUUUAUUUUAAACACUUCAGUAUUUGUUCUCUCUAUUCUUAUGCCUUUGUU
rnacentral:lncRNA from 1 species